GGGUGAGUAAAAGGUAGGAAUCUACCCCUUGGACGGAGAUAGCUACUGGAAACGGUAGGUAAACUUCGAUAAGCCCGAGAGGGGAAAGUGGUGAGACAGCCGAGGGAUGAGCCUACUCUCCAUCAGGUAGUUGGUGAGAUAAAAGCUUACCAAGCCGAUGACGGAUAACCGGUGUGAGAGCAUGAACGGUCACAAGGGCACUGAGAGACGGGCCCUACUCCUACGGGAGGCAGCAGUGGGGAAUCUUGGACAAUGGGCGAGAGCCUGAUCCAGCGACGCCGCGUGGAGGAAGAAGUCCUUCGGGAUGUAAACUUCUGAACUAGCCGAAUAAAAGGCCUGUGGACACACAGGAGAAGAAAGUAGGCUAGGAAAAGUCCCGGCUAACUACGUGCCAGCAGCCGCGGUAAGACGUAGGGGGCAAGCGUUACCCGGAAUUACUGGGCGUAAAGGGGGCGUAGGCGGUAAAAGAAGUCAUCUGUGAAAACCUAUUGCUCAACGAUAGGCUAGCGGAUGAAACUGAAUUACUUGAGGGCACCAGAGGUAGACGGAAUUACCCGAGUAGGGGUGAAAUCCGCAGAUACGGGUAGGAACGCCGGUGGAGAAGUCGGUCUACUGGGGUGCACCAGACGCUGAGGCCCGAAAGCUAGGGGAGCAAACCGGAUUAGAUACCCGGGUAGUCCUAGCCGUAAACGAUGCUCACUAGGUGUAGGGAGUGAUAAACUCUCUGUGCUGAAGCGAACGCGCUAAGUGAGCCGCCUGGGGAGUACGUCCGCAAGGAUGAAACUCAAAGGAA
rnacentral:rRNA from 1 species